rnacentral:rRNA from 1 species
GCCCCCAACAGACUAUUGGGUUGAUAGGCCGGAGGUGUACAGCAGCAAUGCCCAGCCGACCGGUACUAAUAGGCCGAACACUUGCCACACAA